rnacentral:lncRNA from 1 species
CAUUACCACCGACCAGUCCUCAGCCGGCAACAUGAAGCUGGGUGGCCUCUGCCUCCUGCUCCUCCUCGCCGUCCUUCUCACCCUCAAUGCAGAGCUCCAGGCAGUUGAUGUAGGUAUCUGUGUGACGGAGUGCAAGGUAGACCAGGACUGUGGGGCAGGAAGACGAUGCACCAGCAAUGGAUGUGGCCGGGUCUGCUCCCCAAUCCAGCAAAGAGAGGCCUGCGAGCACCAGUGCAGAGAAGACAGGGACUGUGGGAGUGGACAUCAGUGCGUGAGGAAGGGCUGUGGGCACGUCUGCGCCCCCGUCCAUCAAGUCGAGAUGUAGGUAUCUGUGUGACGGAGUGCCGUGUAGACCAGGACUGUGGGGAAGGAAGACUAUGCAUCAGUAAUGGGUGUGGCCGUGUCUGCUUCCCAGUCCGGCGAAGAGAGGGCUGCGAGCACCAGUGCAGAGAAGACAGGGACUGUGGGAGUGGACAUCAGUGCGUGAGGAAGGGCUGUGGGCACGUCUGCGCCCCCGUCCAUCAAGUCGGUAUCUGUGUGACGGAGUGCAACGUAGACCAGGACUGUGGGGAAGGAAGACAAUGCACCAGCAAUGGGUGUGGCCGUGUCUGCUCCCCAGUCCAGCAAGAAGAUGUAGGUAUCUGUGUGACGGAGUGCAAGGUAGACCAGGACUGUGGGGAAGGAAGACGAUGCACCAGCAAUGGAUGUGGCCGUGUCUGCUCCCCAGUCCAGCAAAAAGAGGCCUGCGAGCACCAGUGCAGAGAAGACAGGGACUGUGGGAGUGGACAUCAGUGCGUGAGGAAGGGCUGUGGGCACGUCUGUGCCCCCGUCCAUCAAGUCGAUGUAGGUAUCUGUGUGACGGAGUGCAAGGUAGACCAGGACUGUGGGGCAGGAAGACGAUGCACCAGCAAUGGAUGUGGCCGUGUCUGCUCCCCAGCCCAGCAAAGAGAGGCCUGCGAGCACCAAUGCAGAGAAGACAAGGACUGUGGGAGUGGACAUCAGUGCGUGAGGAAGGGCUGUGGGCACGUCUGCUCCCCCAUCCCUCAAGUAGGUAUCUGUGUGACGGAGUGCAAUGUAGACCAGGACUGUGGGGCAGGAAGACGAUGCACCAGCAAUGGAUGUGGCCGUGUCUGCUCCCCACCCCAGGGAGGAGGACUCUGUGUGGACCGCUGCCGAGGAAACUGGGACUGUGGGGCCGGAGAAGAAUGUAUCAGGAAGGGAUGUGGACGGGUCUGCUCUCCAGCCCAGGAGCCAGUGGUAGGUAUCUGUGUGGAUCAGUGCCAAAGACACUGGGAAUGUGGUCCACGGAUGCGGUGUGUCUCCACUGGAUGUGGCCACAUCUGCUCACCAGCCCAAGACCAAGUUGAACAGAGACCCGGAAAAUGUCCAGUGUUGCCAAAAGGAACGAUUGGACUUUGUGCUGAAUUUUGCUUCGGGGAUGACUCCUGUCCCAGCGGACAGAAGUGCUGCAGCAAUGGUUGUGGACACUCUUGCCAGACUGCUGUUCCAGACGAGAAAACCUUCCCUAGCCGUUUGGAUGACUGAUGAACCUUGGCCUCCUUCCAUAAUUGUUCCCACAUGUCACCUUUAUUUGAAGAGCUGGGCUUUUCCAGGAACUCCACCUUUGCCAGGAACCCCAGGAUCAUGGGGUGAGGUUCUAGAAUAACUUGGCUUAAGGGUUGAAUUCUGGCAAUUGUUCAAGGAAUAGUGCUUGCAAAGGAUCCUUCUUCUGAAUAAAACGACUUCUCUGGC